rnacentral:rRNA from 1 species
UACGAAGGGGGCUAGCGUUGCUCGGAAUCACUGGGCGUAAAGCGCACGUAGGCGGCUUGUUAAGUCAGGGGUGAAAUCCUGGAGCUCAACUCCAGAACUGCCUUUGAUACUGGCGAUCUCGAGUCCGGGAGAGGUGAGUGGAACUGCGAGUGUAGAGGUGAAAUUCGUAGAUAUUCGCAAGAACACCAGCGGCGAAGGCGCUGCUCUGGGCCGGUACUGACGCUGAGGAGCGAAAGCGUGGGGAGCGAACAGG